AUUGAACGCUGGCGGCAUGCCUUACACAUGCAAGUCGAACGGCAGCACGGGAGCAAUCCUGGUGGCGAGUGGCGAACGGGUGAGUAAAGUAUCGGAACGUGCCCAGUCGUGGGGGAUAACGUAGCGAAAGUUACGCUAAUACCGCAUACGAUCUAUGGAUGAAAGCGGGGGAUCGCAAGACCUCGCGCGAUUGGAGCGGCCGAUAUCAGAUUAGGUAGUUGGUGGGGUAAAGGCUCACCAAGCCGACGAUCUGUAGCUGGUCUGAGAGGACGACCAGCCACACUGGGACUGAGACACGGCGCAGACUCCUACGGGAGGGAGCAGUGGGGAAUUUUGGACAAUGGGCGAAAGCCUGAUCCAGCCAUGCCGCGUGGAGGAUGAAGGCCUUCGGGUUGUAAACUGCUUUUGUACGGAACGAAAAGGUUUGGCCUAAUAAGCUGAGCUCAUGACGGUACCGUAAGAAUAAGCACCGGCUAACUACGUGCCAGCCGCCGCGGUAA
rnacentral:rRNA from 1 species